GACGGACGCUGGCGGCGUGCUUAACACACGCAAGUCGAACGGAAAGGCCCUGCUUUUGUGGGGUGCUCGAGUGGCGAACGGGUGAGUAACACGUGAGUAACCUGCCCUUGACUUUGGGAUAACUUCAGGAAACUGGGGCUAAUACCGGAUAGGAGCUCCUGCUGCAUGGUGGGGGUUGGAAAGUUUCGGCGGUUGGGGAUGGACUCGCGGCUUAUCAGCUUGUUGGUGGGGUAGUGGCUUACCAAGGCUUUGACGGGUAGCCGGCCUGAGAGGGUGACCGGCCACAUUGGGACUGAGAUACGGCCCAGACUCCUACGGGAGGCAGCAGUGGGGAAUAUUGCACAAUGGGCGGAAGCCUGAUGCAGCAACGCCGCGUGCGGGAUGACGGCCUUCGGGUUGUAAACCGCUUUCGCCUGUGACGAAGCGUGAGUGACGGUAAUGGGUAAAGAAGCACCGGCUAACUACGUG
rnacentral:rRNA from 1 species